rfam:Faecalibacterium cf. prausnitzii KLE1255 F_prausnitziiKLE1255.K95-1.0_Cont796.9, whole genome shotgun sequence.
AUAAUGAUACUUCUGCCUUCGGGCAGCUCGGUGAGAACCACGGAGAGGUGAGAACCCUAUGG